GUUUACUGGAGGCUUAGCCAAAGCUUUUCCCUUCUCAGUUUUCAGUGCCCCAGAUUCCCAAGACAGAUGAGCAGGAGGAAGGAAUCCAAACUUCUAGAAACAGCUCAUCUUCCCUUGUGCUUGCAGCACUGGGUGCUUGGUGUGGGCUGGUGGCGUGUGUGUGUGUGUGUGUGUGUGUGUGUGUGCAGGAAUAUGCAGACCUCAGGGUUUCUAAGUGCCCGGCCAUGGUCUGGUCUUGAUUAGGCAGGCGGAGGGAAGUGGGUCCACAGCAGCGAUCAGAGCUGCUGCAUCCAGCUGUGAGGCUGCAGAGCCAGAAACGCGUGCGACCUGAAAGGGAACACAUUUCUAGAGGGCCUCGGGCCAAGGUGGAGGUGAUGAGGGCAGGAUGUGGAGGCCAGCGGAGGACAAGUGCUGACUGGCAUGGGGAUGCUACGGGUGGGGGGACGGUCAGGAAUUAGCAGCUGAUUUCAAGCGUUGGGAGGAGGUGCGGAGACAAGGAGGCAGCGGCUGGGGUGAUUCCAGAGUAAUUAGGGUGGAAAAUUCUGGAGCAUCCUCGUUGCUUCCCUCAGGACAGAGGCUGCGCUUUUCUCAGCUCUGUCCUGGCAGCGGCUGGCGGAGCAUGUGUGGGCUUCAUUGAAUACGCUGCCCGAGUGUCUUGCAGCUUUUCCCAGGCAUCUUCUGUGUCUCCCUGUCGCCACGGCUGCAACUUCGACAACUGAGUUCUCUUGCUCUGGCUGCAUUUCAGGACAAGAGCAUGCCUGCCUGAGGUGCCUAGAAUCCUGGCUGGACCCCAAACACUGCAGAUUACUUGGUUUCUGUCCAAGGACAGCCCCAAUGGCCUGGACAGGGCUUAGCACAAUUCCUAAUGUACAUCAGACCCUAAAGGAAGUGUGUGCUGUGAGGACAGCCUGAUGAAAUCCUGGCACAGGAAGGAGAGGCAGUACAGGACUGUGGUUUCUGAGCCAAACUGGUGACACAAGACUCGAGCCCUGGUC
rnacentral:lncRNA from 1 species